rnacentral:rRNA from 1 species
AUCUGGGCGGCGGAAUUCAGGAUGGUCGGGCGGGCUUCGCGCUCGUCGGGCCGUUUGAUAUUUCCGUCGCCGUGUCAGACGUCGCGACCUGUUCGUCGUCGGUCCUUGCUCGGAGGAAUCGCGUUCGAGUUCGUUGCGGGCGCGUUUCGGCGUGUCCCGCGGCGAAGGCGCGUCUUUCUGGCUGACGACGGACAGUAGGCAACGGUGUCCGGCGUCGUGUCUCGCACUCGGCGUCGGUACCGGUCAGCGACGAUUUCUUCGGGCCUCUUUCCGACCCGUCUUGAAACACGGACCAAGGAGUCUAACAUGCGCGCGAGUCGCGGGGUUUCGAGCGUGCCACGGUGCGCUCGUGACUUCCGAAACCCGUACGUUGAAGGCGUAAUGAAAGUGAACAGGGAAGAUGGCGUUCCGAGUCCACGUACCGUGAUCGAGUAUCGCGGCCGGACGCCCGCACUCCCGGGGCGUCUCAAUGGUUCGUCGCGGAUGCGGACGGUCGUCUCUCGGGGCGGCCGUCGGUCUGCGACGGUCCGA